UUGCAGCUCACUGUGCCCUUUGUGGUCACCUUGCCACUGUGGGCAGCCAGAGGUGGACACGGAGGCUCUGACCGAUGGAAGGGCCUCAUGGGAGCUCCCAGUCUGGGCAGGGAGGAACAGGUCCCAUGCUGACCUCUGACCUCAGCUCCUGUCCAAGUCCACGUCACCACUAGUGACCCAGCGAGCUUCCUGCUCCACCCUGGACCCAGAGCCCCAGGCCUCAGAUGGUAGAGAAAGCAGCCUGGAGGGGGAGAGGCAGGCUCCUAGGGCAGAGAAGCUCAGGCGGUCCCAGCACCCGGAAGGAAGCUCCAAACCGAUGCCAUCCCAGGCUCCUAGGGCAGAGAAGGUGAGCCACCCCACACCCCCGUGGAAAUGAGAAGACACAUAAACAAGCCUCAAAAACAGACUUCCAGAUCACCUACAGCAACCCCAAAGGGAAAUGAGAUGGAACAAUCUGAUACUCAACAAAUAAAGUGUCUUCCCUUUUAUAAAAA